CAUGCAGUCGAACGGUGAAGCCCAGCUUGCUGGGUGGAUCAGUGGCGAACGGGUGAGUAACACGUGAGCAAUCUGCCCCUGACUCUGGGAUAAGCGCUGGAAACGGCGUCUAAUACUGGAUAUGAACCGUGGAGGCAUCUUCAACGGUUGGAAAGAUUUUUUGGUCAGGGAUGAGCUCGCGGCCUAUCAGCUUGUUGGUGAGGUAAUGGCUCACCAAGGCGUCGACGGGUAGCCGGCCUGAGAGGGUGACCGGCCACACUGGGACUGAGACACGGCCCAGACUCCUACGGGAGGCAGCAGUGGGGAAUAUUGCACAAUGGGCGCAAGCCUGAUGCAGCAACGCCGCGUGAGGGAUGACGGCCUUCGGGUUGUAAACCUCUUUUAGCAGGGAAGAAGCGAAAGUGACGGUACCUGCAGAAAAAGCGCCGGCUAACUACGUGCCAGCAGCCGCGGUAAUACGUAGGGCGCAAGCGUUAUCCGGAAUUAUUGGGCGUAAAGAGCUCGUAGGCGGUUUGUCGCGUCUGCUGUGAAAUCCCGAGGCUCAACCUCGGGUCUGCAGUGGGUACGGGCAGACUAGAGUGCGGUAGGGGAGAUUGGAAUUCCUGGUGUAGCGGUGGAAUGCGCAGAUAUCAGGAGGAACACCGAUGGCGAAGGCAGAUCUCUGGGCCGUAACUGACGCUGAGGAGCGAAAGGGUGGGGAGCAAACAGGCUUAGAUACCCUGGUAGUCCACCCCGUAAACGUUGGGAACUAGUUGUGGGGUCCAUUCCACGGAUUCCGUGACGCAGCUAACGCAUUAAGUUCCCCGCCUGGGGAGUACGGCCGCAAGGCUAAAACUCAAAGGAAUUGACGGGGACCCGCACAAGCGGCGGAGCAUGCGGAUUAAUUCGAUGCAACGCGAAGAACCUUACCAAGGCUUGACAUAUACGAGAACGCUGCAGAAAUGUAGAACUCUUUGGACACUCGUAAACAGGUGGUGCAUGGUUGUCGUCAGCUCGUGUCGUGAGAUGUUGGGUUAAGUCCCGCAACGAGCGCAACCCUCGUUCUAUGUUGCCAGCACGUAAUGGUGGGAACUCAUGGGAUACUGCCGGGGUCAACUCGGAGGAAGGUGGGGAUGACGUCAAAUCAUCAUGCCCCUUAUGUCUUGGGCUUCACGCAUGCUACAAUGGCCGGUACAAAGGGCUSCAAUACCGUAAGGYGGAGCGAAUCCCAAAAAGCCGGUCCCAGUUCGGAWUGAGGUCUGCAACUCGACCUCAUGAAGUCGGAGUCGCUAGUAAUCGCAGAUCAGCAACGCUGCGGUGAAUACGUUCCCGGGUCUUGUACACACCGCCCGUCAAGUCAUGAAAGUCGGUAACACCUGAAGCCGG
rnacentral:rRNA from 1 species